rnacentral:tRNA from 1 species
UUUUUUAUGGUGUAUAGUAGCACGCUGGUUUUUCAUGCUAGAGGAGGAAGCUUUUCCUGA